UUCGGGGUACUCGAGUGGCGAACGGGUGAGUAACACGAAUGGGUGAUCUGCCCUGCACUUUGGGAUAAGCCUUGGGGGAAACUGGGUCUAAUACCGAAUACGGACCACGCGCUUCAUGGUGUGUGGUGGAAAGCAGGUGCGGUGUGGGAUGGGCCCGCGGCCUAUCAGCUUGUUGGUGGGGUAAUGGCCUACCAAGGCGACGACGGGUAGCCGGCCUGAGAGGGUGACCGGCCACACUGGGACUGAGAUACGGCCCAGACUCCUACGGGAGGCAGCAGUGGGGAAUAUUGCACAAUGGGCGCAAGCCUGAUGCAGCGACGCCGCGUGAGGGAUGACGGCCUUCGGGUUGUAAACCUCUUUCAAUAGGGACGAAGCGCAAGUGACGGUACCUAUAGAAGAAGCACCGGCCAACUACGUGCCAGCAGCCGCGGUAAUACGUAGGGUGCGAGCGUUGUCCGGAAUUACUGGGCGUAAAGAGCUCGUAGGUGGUUUGUCGCGUUGUUCGUGAAAACUCACAGCUUAACUGUGGGCGUGCGGGCGAUACGGGCAGACUAGAGUACUGCAGGGGAGACUGGAAUUCCUGGUGUAGCGGUGGAAUGCGCAGAUAUCAGGAGGAACACCGGUGGCGAAGGCGGGUCUCUGGGCAGUAACUGACGCUGAGGAGCGAAAGCGUGGGGAGCGAACAGGAUUAGAUACCCUGGUAGUCCACGCCGUAAACGGUGGGUACUAGGUGUGGGUUCCUUCCUUGGGAUCCGUGCCGUAGCUAACGCAUUAAGUACCCCGCCUGGGGAGUACGGCCGCAAGGCUAAAACUCAAAGGAAUUGACGGGGGCCCGCACAAGCGGCGGAGCAUGUGGAUUAAUUCGAUGCAACGCGAAGAACCUUACCUGGGUUUGACAUGCACAGGACGCCGGCAGAGAUGUCGGUUCCCUUGUGGCCUGUGUGCAGGUGGUGCAUGGCUGUCGUCAGCUCGUGUCGUGAGAUGUUGGGUUAAGUCCCGCAACGAGCGCAACCCUUGUCCUAUGUUGCCAGCGGGUUAUGCCGGGGACUCGUAGGAGACUGCCGGGGUCAACUCGGAGGAAGGUGGGGAUGACGUCAAGUCAUCAUGCCCCUUAUGUCCAGGGCUUCACACAUGCUACAAUGGCCGGUACAAAGGGCUGCGAUGCCGUGAGGUGGCNAUCNUUCAAAGCGAAUCCUUUCAAAGCCGGUCUCAGUUCGGAUCGGGGUCUGCAACUCGACCACCGUGAAGUCAGGAGUCGCUAGUAAUCGCAGAUCAGCAACGCUGCGGUGAAUACGUUCCCGGGCCUUGUACACACCGCCCGUCACGUCAUGAAAGUCGGUAACACCCGAAGCCGG
rnacentral:rRNA from 2 species